AGUGAACGCUGGCGGUAGGCCUAACACAUGCAAGUCGAACGGCAGCACAGGAGAGCUUGCUCUCUGGGUGGCGAGUGGCGGACGGGUGAGGAAUACAUCGGAAUCUACUCUGUCGUGGGGGAUAACGUAGGGAAACUUACGCUAAUACCGCAUACGACCUACGGGUGAAAGCAGGGGACCUUCGGGCCUUGCGCGAUUGAAUGAGCCGAUGUCGGAUUAGCUAGUUGGCGGGGUAAAGGCCCACCAAGGCGACGAUUCGUAGCUGGUCUGAGAGGAUGAUCAGCCACACUGGAACUGAGACACGGUCCAGACUCCUACGGGAGGCAGCAGUGGGGAAUAUUGGACAAUGGGCGCAAGCCUGAUCCAGCCAUGCCGCGUGGGUGAAGAAGGCCUUCGGGUUGUAAAGCCCUUUUGUUGGGAAAGAAAUCCAGCUGGCUAAUACCCGGUUGGGAUGACGGUACCCAAAGAAUAAGCACCGGCUAACUUCGUGCCAGCCGCCGCGGUAA
rnacentral:rRNA from 1 species